rnacentral:rRNA from 1 species
CCUACGGGUGGCAGCAGUGGGGAAUAUUGCACAAUGGGGGAAACCCUGAUGCAGCGACGCCGCGUGAGUGAAGAAGUAUUUCUGUAUGUAAAGCUCUAUCAGCAGGGAAGAAAAUGACGGUACCUGAUUAAGAAGCCCCGGCUAACUACGUGCCAGCAGCCGCGGUCAUAAGUAGGGGGCAAGCGUUAUCCGGAUUUACUGGGUGUAAAGGGAGCGUAGACGGCAGCAUAAGUCUGGAGUGAAGUGCCGGGGCUUAACCCCGGAACUGCCUUGGACACUGGGCAGCUAGAGUGCAGGAGCGGUAAGUGGAAUUUCUAGUGUAGCGGGGAAAUGCGUAGAUAUUAGGAGGAACACCAGUGGCGAAGGCGGCUUACUGGACUGUAACUGACGUUGAGGCACGAAAGCGUGGGGAGCAAACAGGAUUAGAGACCCGGGUAGUC